rnacentral:rRNA from 1 species
UACGUAGGGACCAAGCGUUGUUCGGAUUCACUGGGCGUAAAGGGUGCGUAGGCGGUCGGGUAAGUCUGAUGUGAAAUCUCACAGCUUAACUGUGAAACUGCAUUGGAUACUAUUCGGCUUGAGAGUUGGAGGGGGGACUGGAAUUCUUGGUGUAGCAGUGAAAUGCGUAGAUAUCAAGAGGAACACCAGUGGCGAAGGCGAGUCCCUGGACAACUUCUGACGCUGAGGCACGAAAGCUAGGGGAGCAAACAGG